GCCAGAGGCAGUUCCCUGCCAGCAACCAUGGAGAAAGGAGCUCUUUCAUGGAAGGCAUGGAGUAUUUCCCGGAUGAGCAACAUUGAUCUGGAUGAGAAGAGUACAGCAUUUUGCAACGUUGAUGAGAGGAGUUGAGUGGAGUGUAACUCAAGAGGAUGCGUGAACAAAGAACAUGUAAAGGAAGCAUGCAGAACAAGUGAAGGACCUUCCUUUUCUCCUGACACAAUCCUAUGGCUUCCUUCAGUUUCAAAGGACAAGGAAAGGGCACAGUUUCAUCAUCCUGACAACAGCCCCACCAGAAGCAGAGACAAUGAAUAUGUCAUUAGGUAAUAGAGGACAAAUUCAAACCUGUUGCAAAUGGCAGAGAUUCCAAGGGUUAAAGUAGAUUAAAUCUAUACAUCCAGGCUAGUGCAUUAUUGUCCCCUUUUUAUAUUCUAAUUCUUACUCAUAUCCAAACUCAGUAUAAACCCCAUCAUUAUAUUAGUGUAUGAAUAAUAUGGUUCAGUUAUUUGCAGUGGUCAAAGUACAACAAUUGUAGCCCAUCUGUGGACCUGCCCUUUAGACGUGAUGUUGAUCCCACAGUAGGAAAUAGCAUAGAUUGAGGGGGAAAGAAGCAUAGGAUGUGAAAUGUGUGCUACUGAGUCAUUGAUAACAAUGUCCCUGUUUUAGUUUUGUUUAUGAGAGACAAUAUUGCAAAAUUAAACCCUAGACAAUUAGGAAAGGAGAGGGAACAUUAUGGAAACACUAAUUACCUAUUGUUAUUGCUUGCUUGUACUGUGUUUUGUUCCUGCUGUCUGUUAAGCAAGAUGUUUAACAUUUUGAUAGCAGUCAUACUCAAAUCCUGAACUGUAAUACUGUGGAGAGAAAGCUGUUCUUUAUGACCCCAAACACAUGUUAUGGGUGAUAUCAGAAUGAGUAAUUUGUGCUCGGGAAACUCUAAAAUGGGCAGGUUGAGGACAAAGAGGAGCCGGCUGGAUGCUGAGGGCUGCCAGCAUCAGCAAUGGAUGGGUUUUACCUUUUGUGUAUAGUGGCCUGGAAGGAAUCCACUGAGCAGCUGUAUUUAAUAUUAGGCUGGGAAAAUGAAGCUGAAAUUUGGAAAUGUUGGGGAAUUAUUAUUUUUCCCCACU